rnacentral:rRNA from 1 species
UACGAAGGGGGCUAGCGUUGUUCGGAAUUACUGGGCGUAAAGCGUAUGCAGGCGGAUCGUUAAGUCGGGGGUGAAAUCCCGAGGCUCAACCUCGGAACUGCCUUCGAUACUGGCGAUCUUCGAGUCCGGGAGAGGUGAGUGGAACUCCGAGUGUAGAGGUGAAAUUCGUAGAUAUUCGGAAGAACACCAGUGGCGAAGGCGGCUCACUGGUCCGGUACUGACGCUGAGGUGCGAAAGCGUGGGGAGCAAACAGG